rnacentral:rRNA from 1 species
UGAGCUCGAUGAGUAGGGCGGGACACGUGGUAUCCUGUCUGAAUAUGGGGGGACCAUCCUCCAAGGCUAAAUACUCCUGACUGACCGAUAGUGAACCAGUACCGUGAGGGAAAGGCGAAAAGAACCCCGGCGAGGGGAGUGAAAAAGAACCUGAAACCGUGUACGUACAAGCAGUGGGAGCACCCUUUGGGGUGUGACUGCGUACCUUUUGUAUAAUGGGUCAGCGACUUAUAUUCUGUAGCAAGGUUAACCGAAUAGGGGAGCCGGAGGGAAACCGAGUCUUAAUUGGGCGUUAAGUUGCAGGGUAUAGACCCGAAACCCGGUGAUCUAGCCAUGGGCAGGUUGAAGGUUGGGUAACACUAACUGGAGGACCGAACCGACUAAUGUUGAAAAAUUAGCGGAUGACCUGUGGCUGGGGGUGAAAGGCCAAUCAAACCGGGAGAUAGCUGGUUCUCCCCGAAAGCUAUUUAGGUAGCGCCUCGUGAAUUCAUCUCCGGGGGUAGAGCACUGUUUCGGCUAGGGGGCCAUCCCGGCUUACCAACCCGAUGCAAACUGCGAAUACCGGAGAAUGUUAUCACGGGAGACACACGGCGGGUGCUAACGUCCGUCGUGAAGAGGGAAACAACCCAGACCGCCAGCUAAGGUCCCAAAGUCAUGGUUAAGUGGGAAACGAUGUGGGAAGGCCCAGACAGCCAGGAUGUUGGCUUAGAAGCAGCCAUCAUUUAAAGAAAGCGUAAUAGCUCACUGGUCGAGUCGGCCUGCGCGGAAGAUGUAACGGGGCUAAACCAUGCACCGAAGCUGCGGCAGCGACGCUGAUGCGUUGUUGGGUAGGGGAGCGUUCUGUAAGCCUGCGAAGGUGGCCUGUGAGGGUUGCUGGAGGUAUCAGAAGUGCGAAUGCUGACAUAAGUAACGAUAAAGCGGGUGAAAAGCCCGCUCGCCGGAAGACCAAGGGUUCCUGUCCAACGUUAAUCGGGGCAGGGUGAGUCGACCCCUAAGGCGAGGCCGAAAGGCGUAGUCGAUGGGAAACGGGUUAAUAUUCCCGUACUUGGUGUUACUGCGAAGGGGGGACGGAGAAGGCUAUGUUGGCCGGGCGACGGUU